rnacentral:tRNA from 1 species
CAUCUGGUUUGGGACCAGAGGGUCGCAGGUUCAAAUCCUGCCGCCCCGA